rnacentral:lncRNA from 1 species
AAACACAAAGAGCCGCGCGGCCACGACGGCCGCGUGCCCGGAGCGCCGGGGUCUUUCCUGGGCUCCAAAGUCAAGAGCUCACGUUCCGGGAGGAUCUGUCCGCGGAAAUUCGGUUCUGAGCGUCGCCGGACUCCGCCGCGGGGAGGCGGAAAAGCGGACGUAAGUGCUGCCGAGGAGAUGGAGGCGUUGGACCCCCUCGCGCAUUGUCGGGGCGGGUGCAGCCGCGGUGCAAAAGGACCUUCCUCAGAAAGUUGAGCACGAAGUUCCCACAGGCCCGGAAGUUCCCCUCCCGGGCGCUCCCCAGAGAGCUGAAGACUGGGCGCGUGCCGGCGGCAAAUGUUCACAGCAAAGGGCGGCCCAGUGCGCAGCUGGAACAUCAGCCCCAGGCGGUCGCUGCGACAGGGACGAGCCUGGGAAACGUGAAAAUGUCCAGAACAGGGAAUCCACAGAUAAAGAAAAGACAUCGUGGUUGCCAGAGCUCGCGGGAGGGGGCAACAGGGACCGACUGCUUAACGUGUAUGGUUCCCCUUCAGGGUGAGGACGUGUUCUGGGACGAGGUCGAGGUCAGGGUUGCAGGACAAGAUGAAAGCGCUAAAUGCCACUGAAUUGUUUGCUUUAACGUCAUUAAUUUUGUUAUGUGAAUUUCAUCUCAAUAGAAUAAAUAGGUCAAGCUGGCUGCAGGGCCCACCCCACCGCGGCCUGGAGCAGGGUCUUCUGGGGUGUACCACCUCUGCCCUCACCCAGGCUCCACCACGACCAGCUUCGUCCACCCCCCAGGAGACCAUGAAGGCCCACGUCUGAAAUCCUCACUAAGCCCACCCUCCCAUCUCCCUGAACUACGGGAUGCAGCAAGCCAAAACAGUACCACUGCACGUCAGCCUGGGUGACAGAGUGAGACCCUAUCUUAAAAAAAAAAAAAAUUGGCUGGACAUGAUGGCUCACGCCUGUAAUCCCAGCACUUAGGGAAGCCAAAGUGGGCGGAUCAUUUGAGGUCAGGAGUUCAAGACCAGCCUGGCCAACAUGGUGAAACCCCAUCUCUCUACUAAAAAUACAAAAAUUAGCAUGGUGUGGUGGUGCAUGCCCAUAAUCCCAGCUACUGGGGAGGCUGAGGUGAAAGAAUUGCUUGAACCCAAGAGGUGGAGGUUGCAGUGAGCCGAGAUCACACCAUUGCACUCCAGCCUGGGCAACAGAGGGAGACUGUGUCUCCUAAAAAAAAAAAAAAAAAAAAAAAAGUCUUCUUUCCAUGAUGAGAAUGUCAGGCCCUGCAGCCUCUUGCACUGGCCAGAGGGGCUGGGGUCACUGUCUGUUUCCUUGCCCACCCUCAAGGGACAAGGAGGAGAGGUGAGGCUGUGGGCGCACCUGAUUUUACCUGCUGGAGUCUGUGUUCUCUGGGAUUAGGGAGCAUCUGGAGCUGACUCUUCCUCCAUGGGACCCUCCCUUUUUCAGGAAAACUUCCCCUCCUCGGGGAUCCCGCAGGGCUAAGAAACACCCUCUUCACCUCCCUCCUGCCCGGUCCUUCUGACCAGCCGAGAGAGUACAGACCCUCCCCGAUCUGGGAGGAGGGCCCAUCACUGGCUCCCUGCCCCCUGCUCGCCAAGCCCCCCGGGACUUCCCAGGCUGUUCCUUCCACCUGAAGGGUCUCCCUCUGGCCAAGGCGAGGCUCACAGUUCCCCUGUCAGGAUGGGGCCUUAGACACCCAGACUGACCCAGUGACAAUCACCUUAAUUCUCCACAGAUAACUACCUACAAGUUUUCUGAUUUAUUCAUUAGUGGAUUUGUUCGUGAUCAGCCCCACACCUGUUAGAAUGGAAGCUGCAGGCAGCAGGAACCAGUGUGGCCAAGUCGGAGGGCAGCACAAGCCGGUCCUCCUCGUGGACAGCAGGUGUGGAGCAGGCCAGGCCCACAGGAGGGCGGGCAGGAGGGCAGGCACCGAGAGGUGCGGAUGGCCUCUCAGAACAGGGGUGCAGGCUGGUGGGGGCAGCAGCU